CAUCGGUUGCUCCAUGGAGGAGCAUUACCGUCUUAAAACUUUUCAAAUGAUCUACAGGAUCGGUAGUCCUGUCAUAAUUCUCUAGCUACGGUAUCUUGAAGUGCUAAGAAGCAGUUUUUACAUAAUUCAAGCAUUGAAUGGUAGAUCGGUGUUGAAUUCGUCAUUUUGUGCUGGAGCCUGGUUGUGCAGUGCCUCGAUUCAUCAAUUCAUUUCACGAAAUCUGCGAUCGAUCUCGACAUCUCAAAUAGUAUUUGCCUCCAAACAUUGCGAAUGAGAACGGUCCAUGGUGGAACCAUGUCCAGAGCGAGGACUCAGGGACCGCUGACCCCUCCGUUCUGGGCUUCUGGGAUCCACUAUGAGAAAUUAUCAGGGAUGGAUCAAUCGGAAAGUGAGGAUCGGUAGGGUCCAAGGUUGUGAAGAUUUUCGACUUGCUUAUGUCUUCAGCUAGGAUGAUAAAUAACUCUUAUAUA
rnacentral:lncRNA from 1 species